GAUGAACGCUGGCGGCGUGCCUAACACAUGCAAGUCGAGCGGCGGCGAGGGGUGCUUGCACCCUGUCGGCGAGCGGCGGACGGCUGAGUAGCGCGUGGGAACGUGCCCCAAAGUGAGGAAUAACUGCCCGAAAGGGUAGCUAAUACCGCAUAUUAUCUUCGGAUCAAAGGAUUUAUCCGCUUUGGGAGCGGCUCGCGUCGGAUUAGGUAGUUGGUGAGGUAAUGGCUCACCAAGCCGACGAUCCGUAGCUGGUCUGAGAGGAUGACCAGCCAGACUGGAACUGAGACACGGUCCAGACUCCUACGGGAGGCAGCAGUGAGGAAUCUUCCACAAUGGGCGAAAGCCUGAUGGAGCAACGCCGCGUGCAGGACGAAGGCCUUCGGGUUGUAAACUGCUUUUAUAAGUGAGGAAUAUGACGGUAACUUAUGAAUAAGGAUCGGCUAACUACGUG
rnacentral:rRNA from 1 species